CUUUUUCCAAACAAACACUGCUCUCAUUUUUGACAUCUGGAUUUUGACAUCAAGAGCUGCCCACAUUCUGAGCUUAGAACUCAUCUUUGAAAAGUUGGCUACUUUUUCUGACACAAGCCAAGAAAAGGGUGAUCCUGCCAUCCUGCAGUGAUGGAGAUUUUGCUCUCAUUGAGUCUGUCUGGAUUAUUUCUGGUUCAUGGACAAUCUGGUUUAUUCCUGUCUUCAUAUCAUCUGGACCUCUUUCCUGGUGCCUAUUUCCCAGGAUACUACCUCCAGUACAAUGUUGAAUAGAAGUGGUGAAAAAAGGAGAAAGAUUCUUAGGAGAACAAAUUCUUUCAUGGGAAGACACACCGUCAGAAAGUUAAGUUUUGACACAAGUACAAAACCUCGGACAGUGUCUUUGAAUAAUAAAGAGAAGAAAGAACAACUCUUCCUGGGGAUGCCUGUCCUAGUGUAAGCAGGUUACACGAGAAGACAAUUGUGUUUGAUGGUACAAGAACCUGAAUUCUGGAACCAGAUAGUCUCUGCUUGAAUUGAGAUUCUGUCACCAACAUGCUAUGUGACCGUGAGCAAAUAAUUUGACUUCCUGUGCCUCAGUUUCUUCCUCUAAAAUGUAGAUAAUGAUGAAUAAUAAUAGCUAUUGGUUGUUGAGUAUAAUAAAUAAUUCAGUGUAUACAAAGGUGUUUGCACAGUGCUUGGAAACACAGGUAAAGCCAUGUAAGGAUGGCUCUUGUAAUAGGAAAGCUAGGCCUUGAAAUGAGAGGUGACAGGUGCCAGGCAC
rnacentral:lncRNA from 1 species